rnacentral:rRNA from 1 species
AGAGUUUGAUCAUGGCUCAGAACGAACGCUGGCGGCGUGGAUAAGACAUGCAAGUCGAGCGCGACUUAUUCUGUAGCAAUACAGGGUAAGUUGAGCGGCGAAAGGGUGCGUAACACGUGGGUAAUCUGCCAUGAAGUUGGGGAUAACUCGCUGAAAGGCGAGCUAAUACCGGAUGUGAAAAUUGGGAGGCAUCUCCUGGUUUUUAAAGUUGGGGAUCGUAAGACCUGACGCUUCAUGAUGAGCCCGCGGCCUAUCAGCUAGUUGGUGAGGUAAAAGCUUACCAAGGCUAAGACGGGUAGCUGGUCUGAGAGGACGACCAGCCACACUGGAACUGAGACACGGUCCAGACACCUACGGGUGGCAGCAGUCGAGAAUUUUUCUCAAUGGGGGAAACCCUGAAGGAGCGACGCCGCGUGGGGGAUGAAUGGCUUCGGCCCGUAAACCCCUGUCAUUUGCGAACAAAUUGCUUCACCUAAUACGUGAAUCAUUGAUUGUAGCGAAAGAGGAAGGGACGGCUAACUCUGUGCCAGCAGCCGCGGUA